rnacentral:rRNA from 1 species
UGAGGGAUAUUGCACAAUGGGCGCAAGCCUGAUGCAGCGACGCCGCGUGGAUGAAGAAGGCCUUCGGGUCGUAAAAUCCUUUUGCGCGUGACGAGGAAGGACGGUAGCGCGCGAAGAAGUCUCGGCUAACUACGUGCCAGCAGCCGCGGUAAAACGUAGGAGACGAACGUUAUCCGGAGUUACUGGGCGUAAAGGGCGUGCAGGCGGCUUGAUAAGUUCGGCGUGAAAUUUUUCGGCUCAACCGGGGGAUGUCGUCGGAGACUGUCGAGCUAGAGGGCGAUAGAGGCGGGUGGAAUUCCGGGUGUAGUGGUGAAAUGCGUAGAGAUCCGGAGGAACACCAGUGGCGAAGGCGACCCGCUGGGUCGCACCUGACGCUAAGACGCGACAGCAUGGGGAGCGAACGGG